rnacentral:rRNA from 1 species
ACGCUCGACACCUACGGGAGACAGCAGUGAGGAAUAUUGGUCAAUGGGCGCUAGCCUGAACCAGCCAAGUAGCGUGAAGGAUGAAGGCUCUAUGGGUCGUAAACUUCUUUUAUAUAAGAAUAAAGUGCAGUAUGUAUACUGUUUUGUAUGUAUUAUAUGAAUAAGGAUCGGCUAACUCCGUGUCAGCAGCCGCGGUAAUCUGAGCGGGCUGGCAAGGC